ACCCACUAAUUUUGGUCGAACACUGGUAAAUAUUAUUCAGGAAUUAGGUGCAAUUUAGGUGCAGUUUAGGGCCACCAAAAUUAAUUUCGGUGCACACUCGGUUUCCGAGAAAUUCG